rnacentral:rRNA from 1 species
UACGGGGGGGGCAAGCGUUGUUCGGAAUUACUGGGCGUAAAGGGCUCGUAGGCGGCCAACUAAGUCCGACGUGAAAUCCCCAGGCUUAACCUGGGAACUGCGUCGGAUACUGGAUGGCUUGAAUCCGGGAGAGGGAUGCGGAAUUCCAGGUGUAGCGGUGAAAUGCGUAGAUAUCUGGAGGAACACCGGUGGCGAAGGCGGCAUCCUGGACCGGCAUUGACGCUGAGGAGCGAAAGCCAGGGGAGCAAACAGG